GUUGUUGCGGGAUCUCACAGGCUUUAAACCGCGGCGCCGCGGCGCCCGGGUGUGGAUCCCUAGAUGGGAGCCGGGGAUGGGCCGGGUGCCUGGUGGGUGGCAGUCGGGGCUGACGGCGGCGGCACUUUGCCGCCUCAGGCCCUGGACACCUUCACCCCGCCGCCUGCCCAGGCGGGCCGGCCCUGCCCGUCCACCGGCCGCCGAGAGUCCCCGGCCUUGGGUCCCCGGGGCCGCUGACUGGCCUCGGUCACCUCCCGGGGAAGGCUCCCGCGCCUCCAUCUGCCCCCGCAGGAAGGGACCCUCUUCUCGCCCGCGAGGCUUCUCCGGGUGGGAUCGUCCUGGCCCCCAGCCCUAAGGGAUCCGCCCCCUCCGAGCAUCCGCCGCCCCUCGGAGACCACUCCAGCUCGGACGGACCCACUCCAGCCCCCGCUGCACGCGGAAGCGCUCAUCCUCCCCGCCUGCCCCGUUCCCUCCCCCUUCUCCUGUGGGACAACCAGGGACCGCAGCUCCCCGCUCCCCAGGUGUGGGGGCUCCGACACGAACGCCUCUGCUCGCAGGGCGGUGAGCGCAGAUCCCACGGGUCCCUCGGUCGGGGGUCGAGGCUGCUUCCGUUUCCAUCCCGGACCCGACAAUGGGCGGGAAAAAGAAGGCUUUACACGACUACGCGGCGGAGUUCACCGACCUGGUGGUGAAGCACCUGAUUGAGCACAGUGACUCUGGGGACACGUCUGUGGUGGAGACCCUUUACUGCAGGGCCUGCGAGCUGCCCGUGCGCGUGCGGAGGGACCGCAUCCUGGAACACCUGUCCUCGGGCAGGCAGCACGGCCUGCGGACGCCCAUUCUCAUGUAAAUGUCAGUGCCAACGCUGGUGUUUCAGGAGUCAUCCCAGCGGGCUGCGGGCUAUUUUAGGAUUCUCUGCCCUGCAAACGUUUCCAAAGUACGUGGACAGGCCGCCUGAUGACACUACGUUUACGGGAUCUGCUAGUGGCUUGCCUACUUAGGGAGUAAACCCUGUGAAGUCUCGCAGUUUUGUUAAAGUGUGCGUGGCCACCUGAAUGCUGCCUUAUCACAAGCCAGAUACAUACUGGUCUGUAGGGUAACUCCCCACUGUUGAUCCUCUGAGAUGAUUGUGGACUGGGUGCUGUGAGUCCUGCCACUUUGUUUAAGUGAAUGUGUCUUUUGUCCAGCUCAGCCGCCUCGGAUCUCGCUGCCACCAGCCUUACUGCACACCCGUGCCACCCGCCCUUGCCCCGUCAGCCUCAGCCUCAGCUCAUUCUCUCAGGCAGUCCCAGCAUUGGCACGGUACCUCCUCCCGCUGUGGGCCACACGUCUCUGCUCCCUGUCAACCCUCCUGCCAUCAGCACCACCACCAGCGACUUGUCUGCCCGGGAGGAUGCAACACCAUCUGCCUCCACCGGCCACCUUUCAGUGUUUCCUGCUUUCCAAGUAAAGAUACCAGCAGUGCCCUCAGAGCAGACCAGCCAGAGUUUUUCUGAAGCCUCCCACAGGGUGCUCCCCGGAGGAGGCCCGAGAUGCUCUCGUGACUUUGGAGCCGGGGUGGCUGGCCACCUUGGCCUGGGCAUCUUUGGGGUGGGCUUCGGGAGCCCGGCACUGCUGCAGAGUGUGGUGGAUGAGAACAGCUGCUGCUUGCUGUACGUGGUGGAGGACCAGCUGUGUGAUGUGGAGCAAGCCUUCAGAGCUGAGCAUUUGGGCCAACACCAGAGUGGUUCGGGAACAGGAUGCAGACAUUGUCCUCAACGACCAGCGGCACUUUGAUCCGGUUUUCCAGUUCUUGCACAAGCAAGUUUGUGUCAGCCACGCCCUGGGGAGGAUCCACUGGAUCACCGCCGUCACUGCCUGUUCCCGGCGGCCUCUCCGGCUUCCCUAAAGAGAGCAGCUUCCCUCGAGACCAGAAGCCAGAGCUCACCCUCCCUUGUGUCCAGGUGGGACUUUCUACAACGCUGCUGUGCACGACGUGGAUGCCGUAUGCAUGUUGCUGGGGGAAGCCACUCCGGACACUGUGUUUUCUCUGGGACAUGUCUUCUGCCCAGAUAUGGCCGCCUUAAAAGAUGCAGAUGCUGUUGUGAUCAGCAUGAAGUUUCCCUGUGAGGCCGUGGUUAGCGUGGACAUCAGCCAGCACUGCACAGACAGCUGCGACCAGGACGUCAGCCAGCACUGCACAGACAGCUGCGACCAGAGACUGGAGAUGGAGUCUUGCCCUGUCACCCAGGCUGGAGUGCAAUGGUGCGAUCUCGGCUCACUGCAACCUCCGUCUCCCAGGUUCAAGCGAUUCUUCUGCCUCAGCCUUCUGAGUAGCUGGGAUUACACGCGUGUGCCACCACGCUCGGCUAAUUUUUGUAUUUUUAGUAGAGAUGGGAUUUCACCAUGUUGGCCAGGCUGGUCUCGAACUACUGACCUCGUGAUCCACCUGCCAUGGCCUCCCAAAGUGCUGGGAUUACAGGCGUGAGCCACCAUGCUCGGCCUAAAAAACAAUUUUCUUGAAGAAUCCGAUUUUGUGCAUAGUAAUGACACAGCACCAUUCCUGAGAAAUAGGAAAUAUAUGUGUGUGGUAUGAAAAGCCCAUAUUCUGUUCUUGUCACCUGAAUCUAGGCUUCCUCUUUGGAUGUGAACGCGGGAAUGAACAGUGGCUGUUUUCCACCCAAAGGGGCGUGGAGACCUUUUGGAAACGGGCUUUCUCCUUUCCAUUUUGCAGCCGGGGGCGGGUGGAAACCUUCCUUCGAAGGGUAGUGCCUUGGGGAGCAGCAGACCUGCUCUGAGUCCAGCUUAGCUUUCCAAAAUUCUGUGUGGAACUUACUGGAGAUGUUUUUAUAUAUUUGAAAAUAAUGGCCUGUAUUUCUCACGCUAUACUUAAAAAAAAUAACUAACCUUUUAAACAAAGAUAUUCAAACUCACCCUUGUGCUGAAAGCACUCACAUUUCUGUGUUCAUUCCUGAAAGGGCGUUUUAGAGUCCCCGUUUCUACGUUCUAUGUGGCACCCUCUUGCCGAGGGAACAUCCAGAAUCCCUCCACUUCCUGUCUAGUUUGAGGCCUCAACACCUUCAUGAUCCAGAGUCCUGCGGCUAUGAGGGGGUGGGCCCACCACCGCCCAGCCCUCCUUGGUGGACGUGGGGACAGGUAGGAGCCUAGGGAAAGGGGUGGGCGGGCUCUGGUGUGACGGCGUGAGCGCUAGCCAGGAAGAUGGGGCCAGGGCUUGGCAUGGCACCUCACCUGUGGGGGAACUCGGCGGAGCUUCCUGGCGGCAUCUCCCCCUCUUGCCUUGGUCCUUUCUAUCUUUGUUUUAGGCCAAUUUCUAAAAAGACUGAGGCCUCCUUCAAGGUUGAACAGAUUUCUAGAGCCUUGUUUUUGCUGUGACAAGUCCCUAGUCCCUGUUCACAACUCUGAAACCAAGAAACCUGAGAACCAAGAGAACUGAAAUGAAGCCCGUUGGUCUCAGCCUGGCUUGAGCCAACAUGAGGCUCUCUGCUGCCUUUUGUUUUCUUAGGUUUUGCUGAGAAACGGGAGUGCGUUCUGUGUCGGUGUUUGUGACGCCCUGAGACCCUGCUUGGCCUAGCUAAAGUCCAGAAGGCCUGGGCCCCACAGGGCUUGGAUGAGGGCUCAUGGGCCUGUACUUCAGGAGGCCUGAGAGGCCCGGUCAGUCCCAUGAGGCUACUCGGCUUGGCCCGCAGGUCCUCCGAGGCACAGGGCAGAGGGACACCCCAGGGACCCAUCAGACUCACGACACAGAGAAACUCAAGUGGGGUGCCAGGGCCGGCCACAGAGGCCACGGGCUUCCUGCCUGUGAGGAGCCGCCCUGUUUGUCUGAGCCCUUUGGAGAUUUAGGUUGAGUCAUGAGAACCGGUCAUUGGAACAUACACUUUAUUAUGUUACAAAAACAAAAAUCCCCACUGAAACACAGCUAAAAAAAUAACACAUUUUCCCAAGAUUACAUUACCAAAAACAGUUGUUAUGUCAUUGGAGGGCGUCCAUUAAUACUGCUCGGAGAAGCACGAUCUUACACGAAAAACACGGAUGGGAUUUCGUUUUCACCUUAAAGCAUUAAAGUGCUUUAACUGGUAA
rnacentral:lncRNA from 1 species